UAAUCCUUAUAUAGUUAAAGGGUCUUUCGGUUUGAUUAAUAUUCAUUCCGAACAAAAACUUUAGUUCUUAAAAGGAUUGAAUCCUUUCCCUCUCAAUGAAAAAUUCGAGGAAGAAUAUAAAUUCUCGUGAUUUUUAUCCAAGAAUCAAUUUUAAAUUAAAAAUUGGAUUAUGAGAUUACGAAACAUAAUUUUUUUAUUGGAUCAAUACUUCCAAUUGAAUGAGUAUAAGUAAAGGACCCAUGGAUAAAGAUAAAAAGUGUAUUUCUAAUCGUAACUAAAUCUUCAAUUUUUCAUUUCUGUAGGGGAAAUUGAAGCAAAACAGCUAUUAAACAAUGUCUUUGGUUUACUAAAGACAUCGAUAAAUUGUUUUAGCUCGGUGGAAACAAAAUGCUUUUCCUAAGGAUUCUUUCAAAUAGAAGUAGAGAACGAAGUAACUAGAAAGAUUGUUAGAAUAUAACACCCCUUUCUAUA
rnacentral:precursor_RNA from 1 species